UCUGAAAUGUUUGCGCCCUCUCUGCUUGUUCUCCACGACACCUCCCUCUCCUUCGCUUUCUACUCCAUAGUACUCACAAUCUCAAUUAAGUGUCAGCAUCUCCUUCUUACGUCUCUUAUCUUUUUUAUCUGAAGUCAUAAAACUCACUCGCCCUCUGCAUUUGUGGACACUAAACUAAGCAAAGAAACAGAGACAGUGGUUAUGCUUCUCGCUCUUCGGGUCUCUCUCCUUUUUCUCUCUCUACACCGGGCGUGCUUUUUUUUUUCUCUGCGUUUCAGACCUUACUCGAUUUCCUUUUUCAUUCGCAAUCGUUCAUGCUUUAGUUUCAUGACUGUUUUGGCUUUACCUUUACGAUUUCGAUUUUCCACAACUUUUUUAGUUUUUAAACUGUUUAUAUUUGACAAAUUGAAUUUAUUUAUUUAAUUCUGAAUGUUGUAGGUUUGUCCCUAUGUUGAAUUUGGUUUUUGUGAUGGAUUGUACUGUUUUGCUUUCAGCUUUGUGAUUAUUUUUCCGCCUUAGGGUUAGUUAAGGCUUUGAGAUGGGAUUCUAUUAUUGUGGUUCAAGUUGAAUAACUUUCUGCUAUUGAAGUUUUGGCUUCUCAUCGAAUCCAAGUUGUGCUAUUUUUCUUCUUCUAUUGAUGUUGAUUUUUUGUUAUUUUAUUAUAUUUAUUUAUUUAUUUCGUUUCAUAUAUAAUUACUGUACAUAAGUGAUUUUUCUCUUUUAAGAAAAUCUUUAUGCCUUACUCAUUCCAAACUAAUUGUGCACAUGCUUUUAAUCCGUGCCAUGAAUGCACAGAGGUGUGGCAAGCCCUCUCGUCUAACCACCGGCUUAAUUGAUUAACCAUGUGAUCUUUCUAUAUAGCUAGCAAUUUUAUAUCUUUCAAACAAAUUCUAAGAGAUAAGGCAGUGGCAAAGCUUUAUGAGCUUGGAAAGGAACUUAAACUAUAAUAUAACCUUCUCGUGCUGGUGUAUCCUCAUAUAAGGCAGUGGCAAUUCUUAGGGAACAUCAAGCUCACUUUCGGAUAAGGUUCGUCAAGUUGAAAGGGAAUUGUUUGAGCACCCUCAUCUUGUGCUUGGACUUAAACCUCAUGCAGAUGGAUAAGGUGUUGACUAAUAGUACUAUAAGGGAUGGUUGGUUGGACAUUUGGACAUGCAUCGUGUACUUGAGAUAAAAGAAUUGGAGUUUAGAUAUGAGAUCACACGCAGGGCACAUUUCAAUCUUAUUGAUUAUUUAUCAAAAUGUAUAGAUUUGGAAUUCCUUGUUACAAUUAAUUCGUUGAAUAUAAAUGUUUUAUUGUAUA